UACGUAGGGGGCAAGCGUUGUCCGGAAUCAUUGGGCGUAAAGAGCGUGUAGGCGGCCCGGUAAGUCCGCCGUGAAAGUCCAGGGCUCAACCCUGGAAUGCCGGUGGAAACUGCCGGGCUGGAGUCCGGAAGAGGCGAGUGGAAUUACCGGUGUAGCGGUGAAAUGCGUAGAUAUCGGUAGGAACACCAGUGGCGAAGGCGGUCUCCUGGGGCGAUUCUUGACGCUGAGGAGCGAAAGCGUGGGGAGCGAACAGGAAUUAGACUACCCCGUGUA
rnacentral:rRNA from 1 species